GGGGUUAUAGCUCAGUGGUAGAGCACCUGCCUUGCACGUGUGAGGCCCUGGGUUCAAUUCUCAGCACCA
rnacentral:tRNA from 1 species